UCUUUAAAAAAAGUUGGUAUUUUUACCAAAUACGAAAUACCAUUGCCAAUUGUUCAAUUAUAUGGAAACUAUAGGAUAUAGUCGGCCGAUCCUCAAAUUUUGGUGCGUCUACCCAGCUGGGACUUGAAAACUCCAAUUUUUAACUUUAAAUAUGCGCAUACACCAAAGUUUUGGAAAAAGCUUUUCCGCAAUAAUACAUUUUGAAAUCAUUAACUCGAACAUUUCUACAGGGUGGGCCCCGUAGCUGUCACAUUUUUAACUAUUAGUUAUUUCGAGAACGUCACCACACAUAUCAGUCGCAUAUUCAUAGUUGUUCAGUAUAUCAACUCCGGUUCACGAAAUAGAACGCUUCUCGAACGAACAACGCUGGGAAAUGGUAAAAUUUUACUUCCAAAGUAUUUGGACGAAAAAUUUGAAUCAGAUUUGGGCGAAAAAUCAUCUUCUCGGACGAGGCGCAUUUCCAUUUUGGCGGCUAUGUUAAUAAGCAAAACUGCCGUAUCUGGGGAACGGAAAACCCUCAUGUGAUCGCGGAGAAACCAAUGCAUCCAGAACGAGUGACUGUUUGGUGCGGAUUAUGGUGGUAUCAUUGGGACGUUUUUCUUCAAAGACAUUGCGGGAAGAGCCGUUACGGUCAAUGGCUAGCGCUACCGAGCCAUGAUAAGCGAUUUUUUGUGGCCUAUUAUCGACCAAAUGGACGUGGAAGACAUUUGGUUUCAACAGGAUGGUGCACCGUGCCACACAAGCAAUGCCAAAAUCGAUCUUCUGCGCGAGAAGUUCGGCGAACGCAUUAUUAGCCGGCGCGCCGAAAUCGGCGAAGUUAUUGGCCAGAUAUAGCCCCACACGCUCGAGAAUGUCGUCAAAAAUUGGUCUUAUCGCAUCGGCUAAUGCCACGCUAGAAUGAUGUUGUGUUCCAUCAUUAAACCGGAAGAAUUAAGCUUUACAAUAAAAAAAUCAGAAUUGAAAAAUAUUGACGCGGGUUCAUUUUAUCGCCAAAAGGUGAUUUUUAAUUGGCCCACCCAGUACAUGACAAUGCCCCAAAACACAAUGCUAGUGUUGUUAAAUCUUUUUUAAAAAUACUCUUAACUGACCACAAUAUUAUUUUGAUUUGAAAAAAUUGAAAAAGUAUAUCAGGAGUGCCCAGUGCCAUUGCUCUCGGUGCUCCUUUGUUGUUGGAAUUGCUCUUUCAUAUGGGAAACGAAAUUUCAUAUUCGUGUGAUCCUCCCAGCAUAGCCAAAGCCCAAAUACAAAAACAAUUUUUCGUGUUUUCCCUAUUCUCCUCAAUCGUGCUAAUCCGAACGCAUUUUGUUGUUGGAUAGCCGAAAACUUAUCACUACAAGAAACUCAUUCUUGCUUUUCAUUCAGCCAAAAUGGUCGACUUGAAGCGAUGAAUUUCUGCUUUGCAGAACAUUUUUAAAGUAAAAAGUUAGGCAUUUAUUGUCAUAGUAUAAUAAUAAACUGUUGUGAAAAAUAUAUGCCCUAUUUAUAAUUGAUAUAAUAAAAUGUAUUUUUUAUUAUAAUGAUAUUUGUUUGAAACUCCUUGUGAAUUUUACUAUAAUUUUAUUUUUCAGUGCAUCGAAAUGAAAAAAAUGGUGUAAAUGGUGUAUUGGUGAUUUUUUGCACUGGUAUUGGAGUUUGCUCUGCCGUAUGCUGAGCUUGGGCACCCCUGGUCUACAUGAUUCACUGACCAACAAGAUGUACAAGAUGUAUGUACAUAUGAGUUUUUAGAAAGUAUGUUUUUCUAGCUCACUCUCAUAUGUAACUUACUUUUCAAGGAGCGUUUCCUCUCUCUAGAUAUUUUCAAAACAGGAAAUAAAGUACUUUUUUAAUAUCUAUCGUUUCCCUCACAUAUCUAAACCCUGUUAACAUAUUUGCCAGUGAUGCCCAAUUUUCCCGCUUAUACCUACAUAUCAAUGAGAGAGAGCGAGUGCCAAAUAUAUGUUGUAUUUUUAUGCAACCUAUACUAGUUCAGAUCGCUGAUGGUGAUAACUUUGAAAACUACACAUCUAUGCUUUUAUUUUUGCAAACUAUAGAUAAAAGCGUGAUAGCUUGCCAAAGUCGACUUUGUGAGUACGAUGUGAGCUGUUUCAAAAGAAGAAGUUCGACUAGCAAUUUGUUAGAGUAAGACAGAAAACAUUUUGACGGCAACUAAACGGAUACUGCGGAAAUUAAAAACGAAAUUUGUCUUAAAUAUAUGUAAAAAUGUGAAAAUGUGUAAAAUGUGUAAAAAUGUGACCCGUCUAUGUAAACAAAAAAUUUACCUAAUUAAUUUUUUCAAAAUUGUUCUAUUUUAAUUGUCUUAUUAAUUGCUUAUGAGAAAUAUUUGAAUUGUACCGCCUAAAGAUAUUAUCGCUCUGUUAAGUACUCGUUCUUGUUACUCGCUGCGUCGCAGUUUCGAAUGAAAGAAGAGAAGGAGCAGAUAUAACCUAGUAAUAAAUGAACU